rnacentral:lncRNA from 1 species
GAUAGCAACAUUAGACCCACCACGACUGUGUGAUUGCCACCUUCUAUGGAGAAGGAUUAAUAAUUGAGGCAUGGAGAUAAUCUUUUUGCAAUUCCAUAGAAAAAAAAUAAGAAUGUUUAGCCAUGAGGUAAUUAAGCCUUCUAAGAUGGUGAGUAGACUUUCUAAACCUAACACAUGCGUUCCACCGUGAGCAGGAGUUUUGGUAUGCUAUUUUAGAUCAAGCUACACUGCAUGU